rnacentral:SRP_RNA from 1 species
GCCAGGUGCAGUGACGCGUGCCUGUAGUCCCAGCUACUCAGGAGGCUGAGGCUGGAGGAUUGCUUGAGCCCAGGAGUUCUGGGCUGUAGUGCGCUAUGCGAUCGGUGUCCGCGUCUAAGUUUGGAUCCAAUAUGGUGACCUCCCGGGAGCGGGGGACCACCAGGUUGCCUAAGGAGGGGUGAACCGGCCCAGGUCGGAAACUGAGCAGGUCAAAACUCCCGUGCUGUUCAGUAGUGGGAUCUUGUCUGUGAAUAACCACUGCACUCCAGUCUGGGCAACAUAUCGAGACCCCGUCUCU